GUAUUCAUUCUGUAGCAGGACAUGCUGAAGUUGGAGCAAAAAGAGAGUGUUAUUGAUGCCCAUAUCCUUUCAUGGAUCAUCUGCAAGAUAUCUAUCUACCCAGUGGACUGAAAACCUUCCCCUGCAUUAAGAAUUCUUAGCCUCUUAUAGUCCAGUGGAUCAUGGCCAGGUAUGAAGAGGAAAUGGAUCUCAUUUUUGGACAAGAGAAUACUAAAAGAGGCAUUGCACAGUGCCAAAGAAACACAAAGCUAAACUGCCAAUCAAGCACAAGGUGAAAGAGACCAACCAAUCCCAAUGGGGUUGAUGAAAAUUUUGAGCCAUGGCAAAAGAACUUGAACUUGUUUGGGGUUUGAGGUUGUGG
rnacentral:lncRNA from 1 species